GUUAGAGAUCGCUUCCGAAAUUGGUGGGAGGAGAAAGCGGGAGUGGAGACAUGGGGGCGUAUCCCCCUUCCAGAAUUCAUGUUCCUCCUUUUGUGUUUUGAAGGGUUCAAGAUUGGGAGGAAACAACCAAGAUCCAGGCACUCUUCAAAGCCUCUCCAAAAGGAGGGGCAAGGAGAGGCCACCCCGAAAUGAAGUCACAAGUGAUGGAUUCUUAGGACCUGGAGGAUGCAAAGUCCUAAAGGACCAUCCUUUGGUUUCAGGAAGGCAGGAAAAGAGGAAUGUUCAUCAUGGAAGCAGGUUCAUUUCCAGAAAGAAAACCUGGUCACUGUGUUGCCUAAAGUGAGGAAAAGACAUACAUGGCCAAAGGAAAAUAAACACUGGCUAUAGUUCA
rnacentral:lncRNA from 1 species